UUUUUAUUUGGGCUCUUAUGCCUCUUUUUUUUUCUUUUUUCUCUUUUAUCUCUUUUUAUUUUUGGGCUCUUUGGCCUCUUUUUUUUAUUUCCUCACAUGGGAAAUGCUCCAAUAAUGAUGAUCAUCACACUUCUAUUUACUCACAUCUCAAAAUGAUGAUGACUCUAUAGGAAAUUCCUCCGGCCGUGUACCGAGAUGUGCAACGAUCUAGCAUGGC
rnacentral:lncRNA from 1 species